GAUGAACGCUGGCGGCGUGCCUAAUACAUGCAAGUCGAACGCCGCGGGGACGGGGGAGUAACACGUCGAUAACCUCCUUUAAGACUGGGAUAAAUUCGGGAAACCGGUGCUAAACCGGCUACUUGUAUGUGGAUGCGCGCUGCAUUAGCUAGUUGGUAAGGUAACGGCUUACCAAGGCAACGAUGCAUAGCCGACCUGAGAGGGUGAUCGGCCACACUGGAACUGAGACACGGUCCAGACUCCUACGGGAGGCAGCAGUAGGGAAUAUUCCGCAAUGGGCGAAAGCCUGACGGAGCAACGCCGCGUGAGUGAUGAAGGUCUUCGGAUCGUAAAACUCUGUGAUUAGGGAAGCGGUACCUAAUCAGAAAGCCACGGCUAACUACGUGCCAGCAGCCGCGGUAAUAC
rnacentral:rRNA from 1 species